rnacentral:rRNA from 1 species
GACGAACCGAGCGACCGUUAUUCGGAAUCACUGGGCUUAAAGGGCGCGUAGGCGGGCCAUCAAGUCAGGGGUGAAAGCCCCCAGCUCAACUGGGGAAGUGCCUUUGAUACUGGUGGUCUCGAGGGGGAUAGGGGCAUGCGGAACUUCCGGUGGAGCGGUGAAAUGCGUAGAUAUCGGAAGGAACACCGGUGGCGAAAGCGGCGUGCUGGAUCCCUUCUGACGCUGAGGCGCGAAAGCCAGGGGAGCGAACGGG